GAGUUAUUGCAUUGUUUGUGAUUUGUACACAAUUAGAAGAGGCGGCUGAAGCAGGUGCUACGGUGCAACUACGAUUGUUGUUGAUUGUCCUUUACUAACACGAAUGGGGUACUUGCAAGGAUCCAUUGGAUGACGCUGAUGAGUCAUAGUGGCCCCUAUGUUGGGUUUGUGGCGUAUUUGACAUCAGCUAGCAUACUUGUUUUCGUAAUUAAUACAUUGUUGGUUUCUACGUUUCUGUAUCUUCAUAAAUCAUUUAUGUUGUUUCUGCUUUACAAAGCAUCAUUCGAAAUUCCUUCAUUAUGUGGGUAUUGCAUUCAGGUUCUUUCUAUAGCCCUUUUGGUUUGAUUCUUUUUUCUUAUUGUUCUUCUUCAAGAUAGGAGUGGGUGUUUGUUGUUGGUUAAACAUAUUGUCUUUGUUUUCGUUUGGAGGGAAGUAUCUUGGCCAACAAUGAACCCCAAUGCCUUGUAUUGAGGAUCUUUGCAAUCUAUCAUAAUCUUCAUGAUUUGACUGAGGAUAAUAUGGUUGACAAAGGUUGAGGGUUCUUUUUUCUUUUGCAUUCUUGAACGGUUAACUUUAUAUUCAACGCACGUGGGAUGCCCCAAAUAUUUUAAGGCCAUGAACAGGGUCUUACCUUACAUUAAUCUCAGUGAAGAGGUGGUGGAGCAGUCCUUUACCACUAUAUACAUCUAACGAGGACAUCACAAAAUAUAUCUAAGGUGGUCUUAUUGGGGGUUUCACCUUCUCCUGGAUUUCUUUCUUCUUCAUUGAAAUGUUGCUCGAUUACCCUAUAUAUCUAAGGUUGGGAACGUUGAACUAAGGACCUAG
rnacentral:lncRNA from 1 species